UACGAAGGUGGCAAGCGUUACUCGGAAUUACUAGGCGUAAAGCGCAGGUAGGCGGUUCGAUAAGUCUUUUGUGAAAGCUCCCGGCUUAACUGGGAGAGGCCAAAGGAAACUGUUGGACUAGAGUGUGGUAGAGGAUGCUGGAAUUCCCGGUGUAGCGGUGAAAUGCGUAGAGAUCGGGAGGAAUACCUAUGGCGAAAGCAGGCAUCUGGGCCAUCACUGACGCUGAGCUGCGAAAGCUAGGGGAGCAAACAGGAUUAGAUACCCUGGUAGUCCUAGCCCUAAACGAUGCUCAUUAGAUGUGGGGGGUAUCGACCCCUUCCGCGUCGUAGCUAACGCAUUAAAUGAGCCGCCUGGGGAGUACGGCCGCAAGGUUGAA
rnacentral:rRNA from 1 species